rnacentral:rRNA from 1 species
AGAGUUUGAUUAUGGCUCAGGAUGAACGCUGGCGGCGUGCUUAACACAUGCAAGUCGAACGGGAAUUACAUUUAGCUUGCUAAGUUGUAAUUCUAGUGGCGGACGGGUGAGUAACGCGUGGGUAACCUGCCUUAUACAGGGGGACAACAGCUGGAAACGACUGCUAAUACCGCAUAAGCGCACAGAUAGGCAUCUAUCAGUGUGAAAAACUCCGGUGGUAUAAGAUGGACCCGCGUCUGAUUAGCUAGUUGGUGAGGUAACGGCCCACCAAGGCGACGAUCAGUAGCCGGCCUGAGAGGGCAAUCGGCCACAUUGGGACUGAGACACGGCCCAAACUCCUACGGGAGGCAGCAGUGGGGAAUAUUGCACAAUGGAGGAAACUCUGAAUGCAGCGACGCCGCGUGAGUGAAGAAGUAUUUCGGUAUGUAAAGCUCUAUCAGCAGGAAAGAAAAUGACGGUACCUGACUAAGAAGCCCCGGCUAACUACGUGCCAGCCGCCGC